rnacentral:rRNA from 1 species
AACGCUGGCGGCGUGCCUCAGACAUGCAAGUCGAACGCGAAACCUUCCUUCGGGAGGGGAGUAGAGUGGCGCACGGGUGAGUAACACGUAGGUAAUUUGCCUUCGGGUGGGGAAUAACAGCCGGAAACGGCUGCUAAUACCGCAUAAUGCAGCGGCUCGACAUCGAGACAGUUGUUAACGCGGGGGAUUCGCAAGAACCUCGUGCCUGAAGAGAAGCCUGCGGCAGAUUAGCUAGUUGGAAGGGUAACGGCCUACCAAGGCGACGAUCUGUAGCCGGCCUGAGAGGGCGGUCGGCCACACUGACACUGACAUACGGGUCAGACUCCUACGGGAGGCAGCAGUCGGGAAUUUUGGGCAAUGGGCGAAAGCCUGACCCAGCAACGCCGCGUGAAGGAUGAAAUCCCUCGGGAUGUAAACUUCGCAAGAAUGGGAAGAAUAAGUAGAAGCGAAUACCUUCUAUGAUGACGGUACCAUUUGUAAGCUCCGGCUAACUCCGUGCCAGCAGCCGCGGUAAUACGGGGGGAGCAAGCGUUGUUCGGAUUUACUGGGCGUAAAGGGCGCGUAGGCGGUCACUACAAGUCAGUUGUGAAAUCUCUGGGCUUAACUCAGUACGGUCAACUGAUACUGUCGGACUAGAGUGCAGAAGGGGCAACUGGAAUUCUCGGUGUAGCGGUGAAAUGCGUAGAUAUCGAGAGGAACACCUGCGGCGAAGGCGGGUUGCUGGGCUGACACUGACGCUGAGGCGCGAAAGCUAGGGGAGCGAACGGGAUUAGAUACCCCGGUAGUCCUAGCCUUAAACGAUGAAUGCUUGGUGUCUCGGGUUAUAUAGUCCCGAGGUGCCGUCGCUAACGCAUUAAGCAUUCCGCCUGGGGAGUACGGUCGCAAGACUGAAACUCAAAGGAAUUGACGGGGACCCGCACAAGCGGU